GGCCCUACGGGGUGCAGCAGGCGCGAAAACUUUACAAUGCUGGGAACAGCGAUAAGGGAACCUCGAGUGCCAGGUUACAAAUCUGGCUGUCGUGAUGCCUAAAAAGCAUUAUAUAGCAAGGGCCGGGCAAGACCGGUGCCAGCCGCCGCGGUAACACCGGCGGCUCGAGUGGUAACCGUUAUUAUUGGGUCUAAAGGGUCUGUAGCCGGCCGGAUAAGUCUCUUGGGAAAUCUGGCAGCUCAACUGUCAGGCUUUCAGGGGAUACUGUCUGGCUCGAGGCCGGGAGAGGUGAGAGGUACUUCAGGGGUAGGGGUGAAAUCUUGUAAUCCUUGAAGGACCACCAGUGGCGAAGGCGUCUCACCAGAACGGACCUGACGGCAAGGGACGAAAGCUAGGGGCACGAACCGGAUUAGAUACCCGGGUAGUCCUAGCCGUAAACGAUACUCGCUAGGUGUCGGCCACGGUGCGACCGUUGUCGGUGCCGUAGGGAAGCCGUGAAGCGAGCCACCUGGGAAGUACGGCCGCAAGGCUGAAACUUAAAGGAAUUGGCGGGGGAGCACCACAACGGGUGGAGCUUGCGGUUUAAUUGGAUUCAGCGCCGGAAAUCUUA
rnacentral:rRNA from 1 species